AUUACGCACAGGUACUCUGUUUCUCUGUCCAGGUCGUAUCCAGAUUGAGUCGAUGCGGCUGAAAAGCAUCAACCAUUUGAGGAAAAUGAGAUGCCGAUGAGAAAGAGGACAAGGACGGGAAGUUUUGUGAAGGUGCCGUCUCUUCAUUACUGAUAAAUGAGAGAAGUGCUGAGGACGGCUUUUAACUUUUGGCUGCUACAGGACUGAAUGUGACCCCUGGACCGGAUUACGCACAGAAACAUUGACCGGCAGUGCAUGCACAUUGGAACAAUGGUGGAGUUUGCGUUUGCUUUGGAAGGGAAACUGGAUGACAUCAACAAACCAUUCCUUUAAUGGCUUCAGCGCUUUCACACCCAACAACAUAUUGUUAAAGCUUUCUUCAAGACAGAUCGCUUUGCCCUAGCAUAAAGAUAAUACAUUAAAUCUUGAUGUACUCGUUACAUCAUAAGAAGAAUGGCAUCUACGCUAAUUAGUGUCUUUGUUUAUCCCGAGGUUUUCCCGCAGCCUGCCGGAUCCAGGCCGUAUCCAGAUCUGGCGAGGACCUUAGCCUGGACACGAUGACGAUGACAAUGCAGUGCUGAAGUGCCAACUAGCCUCUCCCUAUGGAGGAUCCCUUUCCCACUCUACAGAUUAAGCGAUGUGAAUUCGUUUCGCGUCCCUACCCUGAAGUGAUUCGAAAAUCUGUAUCAAAUUUAUAGACAAGAAGUUUGUUCAGGCAUGAGGGAAUUUAAAAACCUGCGCGCAUAUAUUCAAACGCACAUAACUAUUGAAUCAAUUCUCAAUGCGCAUGUGAACGUCAUCAGCAGGGCUGUUACUACCAAUUUAUCACAGAUUCGCGUUUAAAGUCUAUUUAGAAACAUUCAUAUACAUUUUCACGUGACAGUUACUGUAAAUUCGGCCUCUAGUUCAUAAACGCCAGAGGAGAACUGGCCCCCGACUGAGCCUGGGUUCUCCCAAGGUUUUUUUUCCUCCAUCGGGUCACCUGAGGGAGUUUUUCAGUUCCUUGCCACUGUCGCCUUUGGCUUGCUCAGUUGGGGAUAUUCAAAUCAGUUAUACUACAGGGCUGUUGAACGCUUGAUUCUGAUUGGUUGAGAACGUUCUAAAGGUGUGCAAUUAUUUUGACGGCUAAAGUAGUUUCAGGCAAGUUUGAACCGCAUUACAGUUCCAUAUCACUGCGCGUAGUUAACGGAAAAUAGGAUACAAUUCAUAACAAGAGAAGACAUGCAGCCCCUUGCGCUUGAUCUGCAAUUUUCGAUGUCUAACUUCACAAUCAAUGGACACAUACAGUUUAAUUUUAAUAAACAAAGUAUAGUCCUAUCUAUAAUAGGCUAAAUAGAAAAUUAAACUGAAGGCUAUAUAAAUAAAUUAAUAGUCCUGCUGCACGUAAUUUCAUAAAUAUUCCAGAUAAUAUAACAAAUAAAUAAUUAUUGAUUGGCCUACUUGUAAAAAAGUGCUUUGUGUGUUUCAUUUAUUGGGUUAUCUACUGUCAAUUAUAGAAAACAAUAAUGAACAAAUUAAUUAAAACGAAGUUAAUAAAUAAAUAAUAAUAUUGACGCA